rnacentral:rRNA from 1 species
AUCGCCUCUUGCUUAAACAUAAAGAGGUCCAGCCUGCCCAGUGACACAAAUUAAAACGGCCGCGGUACCCUGACCGUGCGAAAGGUAGCAUAAUAACUUGUUCUUUAAAAUGGGGACUAGCAUGAACGGCACCACGAAGGCCUCACUGUCUCCUUUUUCUAAUCAGUGAAACUGAUCUCCCCGUGAAGAAGCGGGGAUNAAUAAUAUAAGACGAGAAGACCCCAUGGAGCUUUAAACCCAGCAAGCAACCCUAAUCUACAUAACCCAUCUAAAAUUAUUUCCUCCCCUGCUUCCUGGUUUUAGGUUGGGGUGACCGCGGAGUAAAACACAUCCUCCAUGACGUACGAGAUUAACCCUUAUCCAAGAACUACUUCUCUAAGAAUCGAUAAAUCGACGUUUUAUGAUCCAAUGUAUUGAUCAACGAACCAAGUUACCCUGGGGAUAACAGCGCAAUCCAUUUUAAGAGCCCCUAUCGACGAAUGGGUUUACGACCUCGAUGUUGGAUCAGGGUACCCAAGUGGUGCAGCCGCUACUAAUGGUUUGUUUGUUCAACAAUUAAACCCUAC